AUUGAACGCUGGCGGAAUGCUUUACACAUGCAAGUCGAACGGCAGCACGGACUUCGGUCUGGUGGCGAGUGGCGAACGGGUGAGUAAUACAUCGGAACGUGCCCGGACGUGGGGGAUAACUACUCGAAAGAGUGGCUAAUACCGCAUACGAUCCAAGGAUGAAAGCGGGGGAUCGCAAGACCUCGCGCGUUUGGAGCGGCCGAUGGCAGAUUAGGUAGUUGGUGAGGUAAAGGCUUACCAAGCCUGCGAUCUGUAGCUGGUCUGAGAGGAUGAUCAGCCACACUGGGACUGAGACACGGCCCAGACUCCUACGGGAGGCAGCAGUGGGGAAUUUUGGACAAUGGGGGCAACCCUGAUCCAGCCAUGCCGCGUGAGUGAAGAAGGCCUUCGGGUUGUAAAGCUCUUUCAGGUGGAAAGAAAUCUCCCGGGUGAAUACCCUGGGAGGAUGACGGUACCAUCAGAAGAAGCACCGGCUAACUACGUGCCAGCAGCCGACC
rnacentral:rRNA from 1 species